rnacentral:tRNA from 1 species
GGGUGUAUAGCUCAGAGGUAGAGUGCAUGCUUAGCAUGCAUGAGGUCCUGAGUUCAAACCCUAGUACCUCUA